rnacentral:siRNA from 1 species
AUAAGAAUAUGCGGAAUCGGUUA